rnacentral:tRNA from 1 species
GUGCCCGUAGCUCAGCUGGAUAGAGUACCUGGCUACGAACCAGGUGGUCGGAGGUUCGAAUCCUCCCGGGCGCACCA